UGGAAAAUGAUACAACAGUUUUUACUCGAACGGUCGAAUACACAUUUAUUUUAUUUUAUUACUCGUAUCAGGUAUCACAAUACCGUGGGAUACAAGUGGGAAAACCCGUCGUACCUCGGGCGCAGUUUGAAUAUUUAUCCACUGGAUGGUGUAUUUAAUAUUAAUAUAUAAUUUAUACAAACCGUAGAAUCUACAGUCCAAUAUUAUUGAAGGUGCUCUCCCUAAAGUACUUACCGUUAUGACGUAAUAGUUCGAUUCGGGAAUCAAGCGGCGGCGGCUAGACCCGACAUAAAUCAACAAAUAAUAGAUUUCGCGUAAUAGCGGACGACCGUGGAAUU